UGAAUACGAGACGCUAAGGCGUCGAAGUAGUGUAUGUCAUACUUCCAAGAAAAGCUUGCACUGUCAUAGAUAAAAAACGCCUGUACCAUAACCGACACAGGUGGGUAGGUAGAGUAUACUAAGGGGCGCGAGAUAACUCUCUCUAAGGAACUCGGCAAAAUAACUCCGUAACUUCGGGAGAAGGAGUGCCUUAUUCGUAAGGUUGCAAUAACAAGAUCCAAGCAACUGUUUAUCAAAAACACAGGUCUCCGCUAAGUCGUAAGACGAUGUAUGGGGGCUGACGCCUGCCCAGUGCCAGAAGGUUAAAGAAGUUGGUUAGCAAUUGCGAAGCUGAUAACUGAAGCCCUGGUGAACGGCGGCCGUAACAAUAACGGUCCUAAGGUAGCGAAAUUCCUUGUCGGGUAAGUUCCGACCCGCACGAAAGGCGUAAUGAUUUGGAUACUGUCUCGGAGAGGGGCUCGGUGAAAUAGACUUGUCUGUGAAGAUGCGGACUACCUGCACCAGGACAGAAAGACCCUAUGAAGCUUUACUGUAACUUGAAAUUGAAAUUGGACUUUAUUCGCGCAGUAUAGGUGGGAGGCGUUGAAUAUAAUCUUGUGGGAUUAUUGGAGCCAUCAGUGAGAUACCACUCUUGUAAUGUUAGAUUUCUAACUUUGAAUCAUUAUCUGGUCAAAGAACAGUUUCAGGCGGGCAGUUUGACUGGGGCGGUCCUCCUAAACGGUAACGGAGGCGUACAAAGGUUUCCUCUGAACGGUUAGAAAUCGUAUCUAGAGUGUAAAGGCAUAAGGAAGCUUGACUGUGAGACCUACAAGUCGAGCAGGGACGAAAGUCGGUCUUAGUGAUCUGACGGUACUGAGUGGAAAGGCCGUCACUCAACGGAUAAAAGUUACUCUAAGGAUAACAGGCUGAUCUCCCCCAAGAGUUCACAUCGACGGGGAGGUUUGGCACCUCGAUGUCGGCUCAUCGCAUCCUGGGGCGGUAGUACGUCCCAAGGGUUGGGCUGUUCGCCCAUGAAAGCGGUACGCGAGCUGGGUUCAGAACGUCGUGAGACAGUUCGGUCCAUAUCCGGUGUAGGCGUUAGAAUAUUGAGAGGAGCCUUCUUUAGUACGAGAGGACCGAGAAGGACAUACCUCUGGUGUACCAGUUAUCGUGCCACGGUAAACGCUGGGUAGCUAUGUAUGGAGUGGAUAACCGCUGAAAGCAUCUAAGUGGGAAGCCCACCUCAAGAUAAGUAUUCUCAUC
rnacentral:rRNA from 1 species